CCGAUCGCCAUCGCGGGCGUGUACGCGCUCGGACUGGCUCCGCGCGGGUCUCCCUACCGCGGCGGCUCUGGUGCGAGACACGCGUCUUCCUCCCGUUCGACGUCGCCUCUGAGGAGCUUCGCGACGCGCCACCGCCGGGCAGCAGCACGGCGCGUCCCACGUGGCGCCCAUGCGCGAGUACAGCACGGUGACUCUCGAGCUCUCUCGGUCCGCCUGCCAUCCGAGCCCUCAUCACCUCGAUUUUGCGCAGGUUCGCCGUUUGUUCCUCGGCUGAGAAUCGAGUGUUCUGCCGCUGCCGUAGCGCUCGCUCCGCCGCCUCCCGAACCAUCCCGAGCUCUGAGCCAUCCCGCGCGCUCAUCCUGCGUUCCCGAGUCGUCCUCCCGAGGGCCCUCCAACGCUGCUUGCACACGUGUGCUCGCGAAGGCUCCCGAAGGAAGAGGCACCAUGCCGCGCCAUAGUAAGGCCGCCUGAGCCAUCCCUCGCGCCCCCUCCCCCCUGCGCUCGUUGGUCCUUUCCUUUCCCUCCUCUUCCGCCGCCCGCACCGGUCCGCCGCCGACCAGGGCGCGACGCAGGUGAAUCGAGGAGACCGAAGCAAGAAUCCCCAAGAAAACAACCCAAAUCCAAGCAACGAUUGAGGAAUCCGUACAUUGAGCUGCCCUGCUCCUUCACCCUCUUCUUUCCCUCCUCCUCCGCUGCCCGUGCCAGUCCGCCGACGACCAGGGCGCCCCGCAGGUGAAUCGAGGACACAUAAGGAAAAGUCCCCAAGAAAACAACCCAAAUCCAAGCAGCGAAUGAGGAAUCUGUAGAUCCACUAACGCUGCUUGAGUCCCCAGCUACCACUGGUAUCAGCUAGCUUCAGCAUCACCGUCGUCUUGCAUCAUAUAAGGAUAAACUAAUGCAGCUGAGGUCUAAGCGGAAGACAUGGGCGUGACAGGAGCUCAACUCGUGUUCUGUUUUCUGUCCAGUCAUUCUCCCUUCACAGAACUGUGAUUGUUUUUAACUUUUGUACAGCGUGGCUUGCCUGGAUGGUGUCAAGACCCCGAACACCAGUUGAGUGAUGUGGGAGAUGGGGAUGUCAAUCAAGAAUGUGAUCCUGGAAACAUGGACGAUAUGUAUGGUGGCGUGACAGUCAAUUCUGAGAUUGAUUCUUUGCCUGAUCCAAAGGACCAACAUCACAGGUUACCUGGCUGAAGUUGGAAUUGUGCCGAUUGCUAGAGGAGAGAAGAUCAUCUGUUCUCAGGUUUAUUUAUUCCUUUCCAGAUACUCCAAGCAUUCAUAUAACUAUUCUUAUGAUUAUGACAACACACCGUCGGGAUAUAAUUCGAGAUAUGCUAGAAAUACAUAUUCCAGUUAUAACGCGAGGUGACUGAAGCUUUGGCACAAGUAGGUCUUGAAUCUUCAAAUCUUAUUGUAGGCAUUGAUUUUACAAAGAGCAAUGAAUGGAUAGGUCCUUGCCACCAAAUGUGAGGAGCUUCCGUCGAAUGGGAUGAUGUUAAUAUAUCUUUCAGCUGCAGGUGAGGUGGGAACUUCUGGAUUUUGUCUUGAUACAGGCGAGAAGGUUGUCAGCAACUUUAGUAAGUUUGAUAUAUCCAAUACUAGCCGUACAGGUUCAAAGGAAGACAAUGAACCGGGCCUUUGGUUAGAUUGCCGUGAAACUGAAGACUUGAAUUAUAUUCUUCUUAGUAAGAAGUAUAUUGUUUCUGACAUGUUCGAAACAUCUAGGUUCAAACUCCAUAUACCCUUGUGAUCUAAUCCCAUUUACAAGAAGACCCCUCUUUUUGGUGGUUGACAGUAGCGUCAGCUAUGCAUUCAAGGCAGGUUUGUUUAAUCCUUUUACCCUUCCUAGUCCCGAGCAACCACUACUAUAAUUCUGGGCAGUGAGGGCUGGGGACUUUUUCUUUCCCUCUUGUGAGUGGACUAUCCACAUUGUUGUAAUUGUUGGCCAUUCACUGGUAGACAGAUCUAUAGUUGCUUGAAUUCAAUAUAGGAAUAUGGUUUAUGCUACAUCGUUUGCCUUAUCUUGCUUAGACAGAUCGAUCAUGCACAUCACUUGAUUGUUUCCUUCCAUAUAUUCAUCGAAAUUUGCAACAAUUGUUUUAAUAAAAUUUGUGACCUUGAGUGCU